rnacentral:rRNA from 1 species
GACGAACGCUGGCGGCGUGCUUAACACAUGCAAGUCGAACGGAAAGGCCUGCUUUCCCUUGUGGAUUGCGGGUGCUCGAGUGGCGAACGGGUGAGUAACACGUGAGUGAUCUGCCCCCAACUUUGGUAUAAGCCUGGGAAACUGGGUCUAAUUCCCGAUAGGACUGCAGGGUGGUGCCUGUGGUGGAAAACGAUUUUCUAGUGGUUGGGGAUGAGCUCGCGGCCUAUCAGCUUGUUGGUGGGGUAAUGGUCUACCAAGGGGGGGACGGGUAGGCGGUCUGGGGGGGUGGACGGGCACAGGGGGCCUGAGACACGGCCAAGACUCUGACGGGAGGCAGCAGUGGGGAAGAUGGAGUAAGGAGUGGAAGCCUGAGGCAGCGACGCUGAGGGGGGGAUGACGGGCUUCGGGUUGUAAACUCCUUUCGACCGCGAGGAAGCCACCUGGUUGGAAGGGUGGUGACGGUAGUGGUAGAAGAAGCACCGGCUAACUACGUG